GAUGAACGCUAGCGGCAGGCUUAACACAUGCAAGUCGAGGGGUAUGCCGAUUUAUCGGCAGAGACCGGCGCACGGGUGCGUAACGCGUAUGCAAUCUACCUUUCACAGAGGAUAGCCCAGAGAAAUUUGGAUUAAUACCUCAUAGUAUUUCGAAUCGCAUGGUUUGAUUAUUAAAGUUCCAACGGUAAAGAUGAGUAUGCGUCCAUUAGCUAGAUGGUAAGGUAACGGCUUACCAUGGCAAUGAUGGGUAGGGUCCUGAGAGGGAGAUCCCCCANACUGGUACUGAGAC
rnacentral:rRNA from 1 species